rnacentral:snRNA from 1 species
AUCGCUUCUUGGCCUUUUGGCUAAGAUCAAGUGUAAUAUCAGUCUCACUAAAUAAUUCUUAUUAUUCAUAUAAUUUGAGGGGAAAAAAGACUUCAGUUUUUAUAUUAUCUAAUACUUACUGUAUUUGUGGGGUGGCUACCCACC